rnacentral:rRNA from 1 species
GAUGAACGCUGGCGGCGUGCUUAACACAUGCAAGUCGAACGAUGAAGCCCAGCUUGCUGGGUGGAUUAGUGGCGAACGGGUGAGUAACACGUGAGUAACCUGCCCUUAACUCUGGGAUAAGCCUGGGAAACUAGGUCUAAUACCGGAUAGGAGCGCCUACCGCAUGGUGGGUGUUGGAAAGAUUUAUCGGUUUUGGAUGGACUCGCGGCCUAUCAGCUUGUUGGUGAGGUAAUGGCUCACCAAGGCGACGACGGGUAGCCGGCCUGAGAGGGUGACCGGCCACACUGGGACUGAGACACGGCCCAGACUCCUACGGGAGGCAGCAGUGGGGAAUAUUGCACAAUGGGCGAAAGCCUGAUGCAGCGACGCCGCGUGAGGGAUGACGGCCUUCGGGUUGUAAACCUCUUUCAGUAGGGAAGAAGCGAAAGUGACGGUACCUGCAGAAGAAGCACCGGCUAACUACGUGCCAGCAGCCGCGGUAAUACGUAGGGUGCGAGCGUUAUCCGGAAUUAUUGGGCGUAAAGAGCUUGUAGGCGGUUUGUCGCGUCUGCUGUGAAAGGCCGGAGCUUAACUCCGUGUAUUGCAGUGGGUACGGGCAGACUAGAGUGCAGUAGGGGAGACUGGAAUUCCUGGUGUAGCGGUGGAAUGCGCAGAUAUCAGGAGGAACACCGAUGGCGAAGGCAGGUCUCUGGGCUGUAACUGACGCUGAGAAGCGAAAGCAUGGGGAGCGAACAGGAUUAGAUACCCUGGUAGUCCAUGCCGUAAACGUUGGGCACUAGGUGUGGGGAACAUUCCACGUUUUCCGCGCCGUAGCUAACGCAUUAAGUGCCCCGCCUGGGGAGUACGGCCGCAAGGCUAAAACUCAAAGAAAUUGACGGGGGCCCGCACAAGCGGCGGAGCAUGCGGAUUAAUUCGAUGCAACGCGAAGAACCUUACCAAGGCUUGACAUAUACUGGACCGCAUCAGAGAUGGUGUUUCCCUUCGGGGCUGGUAUACAGGUGGUGCAUGGUUGUCGUCAGCUCGUGUCGUGAGAUGUUGGGUUAAGUCCCGCAACGAGCGCAACCCUCGUUCUAUGUUGCCAGCACGUUAUGGUGGGGACUCAUAGGAGACUGCCGGGGUCAACUCGGAGGAAGGUGGGGAUGGCGUCAAAUCAUCAUGCCCCUUAUGUCUUGGGCUUCACGCAUGCUACAAUGGCCGGUACAGAGGGUUGCGAUACUGUGAGGUGGAGCUAAUCCCUAAAAGCCGGUCUCAGUUCGGAUUGGGGUCUGCAACUCGACCCCAUGAAGUCGGAGUCGCUAGUAAUCGCAGAUCAGCAACGCUGCGGUGAAUACGUUCCCGGGCCU